AUCAUGGGUUAAUAAGCCUGUUCCUAGAUCAAUAUAUUUACUGUGACAUAGGUGUGGGUAUAAAGUGUAGUUAUAUAACUUUGAUAUAUAUAUUGAUCUAGGAACAGGCUUAUUAACCCAUGAG